rnacentral:rRNA from 1 species
UGGUGAUGGCGGUGUGGCCCCACGCUCAUCCAUCCCGAACUGAGUGGUGAAACGCAUUUGCGGCGACGAUAGUGAGAGGGUAGCCUCUUGUCAAAAUAGCUAGCUGCCAGGG